rnacentral:rRNA from 1 species
GACGAACGCUGGCGGCGUGCUUAACACAUGCAAGUCGAACGGAAAGGCCCUGCUUUUGUGGGGUGCUCGAGUGGCGAACGGGUGAGUAACACGUGAGUAACCUGCCCUUGACUUUGGGAUAACUUCAGGAAACUGGGGCUAAUACCGGAUAGGAGCUCCUGCUGCAUGGUGGGGGUUGGAAAGUUUCGGCGGUUGGGGAUGGACUCGCGGCUUAUCAGCUUGUUGGUGGGGUAGUGGCUUACCAAGGCUUUGACGGGUAGCCGGCCUGAGAGGGUGACCGGCCACAUUGGGACUGAGGUACGGCCCAGACUCGUACUGGAGGCAGCAGUGGGGAAUAUUGCACAAUGGGCGGAAGCCUGAUGCAGCAACGCCGCGUGCGGGAUGACGGCCUUCGGGGUGUAAACCGCUUUCGCCUGUGACGAAGCGUGAGUGACGGUAAUGGGUAAAGAAGCACCGGCUAACUACGUG